rnacentral:lncRNA from 1 species
UUUUUCAAGUUUUUUUUCAAGUUGGCUUGAUUUUUACACCAAUAAAAAAGCCCUUGGGCUCAAAAAAUAAAUAAAAUGAUAAUUUUCUGGUAAGUUGUCCUCGCAGGUAUUUUGUAAACCCUAAAUGAAAAUAGCAUUUUUACCUUGAUAAAUUAAUCAUUCAUUUACCUUUCAUUUUUCAUAAUUUUUGUAAACAUUAUCUUGUGCCUUGUAUAGUUUUAGUAAUUACAUUCAGGAACUUGCAUGUAACAUAAUCCUUUUCAUACUAUUUGAACGGAUCCAUUUGAGUAGUUAAAAAAAAUGUUUCCAUCCGAAGUGUUUUACUUAUUUAACAAGCUGGCCAUAAGACACAUCCACAUUCUAUUAGAAACAUAUUGUAAAUACAAAAAACACUGUCAAACACACUAACACAAAAUAACCAAUUAAUAUCCACACUGAUCUGUGUCCACACUUUUGACUUAUAAAAAAAAAAAAAAAACUAUUUUGAAUACAAUAAGUCAAUUGAAGAUUCUCUUCAGAAUUAUUUUUUUCCAUUUUCUUUUUGGUUCAGAUAUUUAUUUUGUUUUGUUUUAAUGUUUCAUACAAGUAAGCUAAACUGUGAUACAUAUAUAUUUUAAACAUUUUUAGCAUUCCAAGUAUUGAAAUGCAUAGAAAUAAAAAGUGUUAUAAAAAUUGUGAUACUAACCUUCAACCGUCCUUAAAAAGUCAAUUUUUAUUUUUUUUUUUUUAUUGUUAUAUUAUUUAUUAAUGCAUUUAUAUAAAUGAAACCUUGUCACUUUGUUAAUCUUCACUGUAGUACUUUUAUAAUGAGGUUUAUAUAUUGUAGUACUAUUAAAUAAAG